GUACGGGGGGGGCAAGCGUUGUUUCGGAAUUACUGGGGCGUAAAGGGCUCGUAGGCGGCCAACUAAGUCAGACGAUGAAAUCCCCAGGCUCAACCUGGGAACUGCGUCUGAUACUGGAUGGCUUGAAUCCGGGAGAGGGAUGCAGAAUUCCAGGUGUAGCGGUGAAAUGCGUAGAUAUCUGGAGGAAUACCGGUGGCGAAGGCAGGUCUCUGGCCGAUACUGACGCUGAGGAGCGAAAGCGUGGGGAGCGACAGG
rnacentral:rRNA from 1 species